rnacentral:lncRNA from 1 species
GGAAUUUUGAUGAUGAGAGAAAAUCAAUAACUCCCAGACUCACAGCUUCCUCAGCUCAUUGCCAGUAAGUUAUGAAAGAAGCCUAGUGGGUCAGUCUGGGGAAUGUGCCGGUUUAUCUCUCGCCCCCAGUGUGGAUUUUUUGCCAGGUGGGCUUCCGAAGCUGUCUUCCCCACCCCCCAUCACCUAUUGAGAGUCACUACAUGACCCAAGAGGCUGGCUGCUUUACAUUCUCUUUUGUGACAUCAGCAUGACUCAUUUCUUCUUGAAAAAUAUUGCUUGCCUUAAGCGAGUGCUAACCGGCUUGUGUUUAGAAGGGCCCUGUACUGCCUUUAGCUAAGGAUGUUACUAUCUUAUUUAUAUUACCUUCUGUGUAGUUAUUUCAUUUAGGCUUUCUCUGAGGAAGGAAUGGCCAAAUUGUCUGAAAGGAACAUUCUGUUUCCUGAAUAGGAAUUUCGCGGCCACAGCUUAUCUCAGCAAGAAUCAUAUAUUUGUGACGACAUGAGCCAGAUUCCCAUACUAUGUAAUUUUACUGGAAUUCUCCUGCAGUAACUUAAUGCUGACCUUAUGAUUCUUUCUAUGAUGAUAUCCUACAGUCUCCUCUUUGAGCUUGGAUGCUGGCAAGAGAAGCUCAAGUUGGCUGAACAAUACAGGAUGAAAGUUUGUAAGUGGGGAAGGCCCCGCACAGAUUUGGAAAAACUCAGAAUGUGUUUUCAGAAGGGGAUGGCGAAAGUUCCCAAAUUAUUCAAAUUGAGUUCACUUAGAUCAUUGGGACUGUAUUUAUUGAUAUUGAGAGUGCUAAUCAAUAGGAGUUUGGAACCCUAUUUCAGGGGGCUCACAUUGGUGGUCCGCAUACACUAGAGUAAGAACCUCUGAUCUGUCAGAUGCUCCAUUUACAGAUAAAGAAACUGAUGGGAAUCGACUUGUUCAAAGUCAUGUGGUCAAUAAGCAUCAGAGGCAGAAUUAGAAUCUAAUUCUUAUAAUUCCUAGGUCCUUUCUACCAAGCCCUGUCCCAGGAAGCCAGCAUCCUGUCCCCUCUCCAUGGCUCCAUUCCCACUAACGGCUCUAGGGCACACUGGAACAGACAGAAACCGUUGGCAUCUAGUGCACGUCUUCUUCAGGAGCCCAUCCCCUUGGUUCCAAUCAGGAUUAGGUUCCUCUUGGCUGGAGGAAGCUAAGCCUGUCAUGAUUCCUCCUUUUUCAUUAGUCAUCUCCUUGACCUCUCUCCCUUUCCCAGGACCCUGGUCCUCAGGGUCAUCAACAUUGAUUUGUGCGAGAGGCCGAGUCCAGCUGACUUCAGUGCUGGUCAAAAGCCCAGGAUGGGUCCAUGCAGAGGCAAAAGGAAACUUGGCUGGAGGAGGCAUGGGGAUUUGAACACAGUGUGAACCGGGAAGGCUGCUUCAGCCCAACCAAACACCAGCAAACUGCACCCAGCACAGCAGAGCAGCUACACCCAGGUCAAGUGAUGGGAGUGGCAGGACUCUCCCACUGCAUCUCUCCUGACUGAGCUGCCCAACAGCAUCUCCAGAGACUGGGGCUUAGAUACGCGGAUAUGAUGCUCUGGCACCUUGAGUGGUAUUGUGCACUGGCUGGAGUAUGGAGACCAGAAAGACCAGUUCUCGGGGUGGAAUAAGUGAUGUGAAGUAUGGCAUCUGGGUCCCUGCCCAGCCCAUGGGCCCAGAGAGGAAGGCCCAGGCCACAGAAAGGCUAUCCUGCAGCCCUAGGUGAGGGGAGACUUGGCUUCUCUCAUCCUUGGGAUGAGAUUUUUUUUUUUUAAGGAAGAUUAGCCCUGAGCUAACAUCUGCUGCCAAUCCUCCUCUUUUUGCUGAGGAAGCCUGGCCCUGAGCUAACAUCCGUGCCCAUCUUCCUCUACUUUAUACGUGGGACACCUACCAUAGCAUGGCUUGUCAAGUGGUGCCACAUCUGCACCUGGAUCCGAACCUGCGAACCCCGGGCCACCGAAGCUGAACGUGCGAACUUAACCGCUGCGCCACAGGGCUGGCCCUGGGGUGAGAUUUCUUAUACCCAACCAGCGGUUCCAGGCACCGAAACUUACUUAGGUAAUAGGGCUUUGGUUUUUUAAAGAAGAGAUGACCCCAACUUAAAAAAAAACAGCUUUAGUUUUAGUUUUGUUUAAAAAAUAAAGUCUAAAAAAUAAGUCUAAAAAGCCACCCAGGCUCAGACCCAACUGGUAUUUUUUUAGAAAUUUUGACUGCUGAAGUUUUGUGUUUCAGAUUUUCUUGGUUACAAUCUAAAUGUUUGAAUAAUAAUGGUGAUGAAAAGAUCUUUCAUGCUGAUCGUGCUUGGUAUAUGAUAAUCUUCACAAAAAUCAAGGAAAAAGCUCAUAAUCCUCACAAAAAUGUAAUUUUAACUGAUGAAGACACUCCAAGUUGGAGAAGGUGAGUGAUUCUCCCUGUGAGAAAGCGGCGGAACUGGGCUUGCAACUGAAGCCUGCUGUUGAGACAGCUCUUUUCAGGACUCUGAAAGUGGCCCCCCGCCAGCCGUGCACUAUUUGCCUCGAACCCUUUUUAGGAGGCGGAAGGGUACAAAUACACUAAUACAGCAUUAGUAUAUGGGUUCAAAAUUGUUAGAAUUGCAUCAGACCCCGCAGCCUCGACAUAUUUUUGUUUCGUUUAUCUCAUUUGUUCUUUCCCACUAAGUCACUGUGUCCCUAUAUUAUAGGAAAAGGAAGUUCCUUUUUAUAGGAAGCUCGGAUGGUGACUUGCCCGAGGCCACACUAAUAGCAAGAGGCAGAGAGUAGACUCCGAUCUCACCCCCAGCUUGGGUUCCACAUCUCUCUCCGUUGUGUCAGGUUGUCCUUCCCUGUAACAACAAUUAUGGAGCAAAUUGUAGAAAUUGGCCACCAAGGGACCCCACUCCCUAGGUCCACACGCUUUGCAACAUGACUUGCUGCUUUCCAUCAAGACGUGGAGCCUCUCUCCCCAUCCACUGAGUGCAGCUGGCCUUGGGACUCGCUUGGACCAGUAGAAUGUGAAGGAAGUGCUGUUCUGAGGUUUCCAAGCUCAGACUGUAAAGCGGCUUUCCGGCUUCCACUUUUCUUCUCGGAACCCAGCUGUCACGUAAAGAAGUCCAGGUUAUCCCGCUGGAGACAGAGGCCACAUGGAAGAGAAAUAGGCACCCCAGCUAACAGCCAACACCAAGGCCCCAGUCGCGACACAAGUUUGUGCUCAGGAGGGCUGGGUCAGUCCCAGGUCUGAUAGUUACAGCCUCAAAGAACCAGAACCACUACUCACUCUCGGAGAUGAAGGCUCUCGCCUUUGCUGGAUGGGUAGCCAAGGGUUAGGGCACAGCCUGUGGCCUCCAAACAGAAGACAAGGAGAUGAGGGCCCGGCUCACAUUCACAACUGGCUGUGCAAACCAGCCGCAGACAGCAGGCAGCACUUUAUGCAGGUUGGUGCUACGUCUUUUACUCUUGAAAAACACUUCAAGAGUUAUUUUCAGCUCGCUAAGGGAAGGGACCCUGGGUUAGUUUUGCUUACUUUUUAAUCACUCAAGUGAUUGGAAAGCAUGGCAAAUAUAAGACUUGUCUUCGUAGGAACAAUUUCCUUUAAAGUUGUUUGAUUGGCUUGGCUCUAAAUGGAUUUAUGUCUCAAGGUAGGACUAUCCCAGAGGCAGUGCCACUGGGGCAAAUAAUUAGCUUCUAUCCGCUAAAUAAAUGUUGUUUAUACGUGUGAAGUUGGCUAUAAUGAGUGUUAAAGGCAACUGAGAAUAGGGAAAAAGAUGCCACAAUGUGGCUACUGGUCAGUUCCUGGAGCUGUUGUGGAGGAUAAAUACUAAGUCUCACAGGUGUCACCAUCAUCAGCCAGCAGACUUACCUCCUUCUCUCGAUCCCCUAGUUGGGUAGUCACAUAAAAUGUGUGGCCCAGGCGAGCAGCUGGAUUGUCCAGACCUUGGGUCACUCAGUCCCUGGGAAUCUGUGACUAGGGGAGAAGAUUAUUUCUGAUUGUUAUCUCUGAGAGGCCAGCCACGCCUUGGGGCUACUCUCAAUGCAACUGGGCAACCUUCUGAAAUCUCGCUGGCAUCUGGAUCUGGUUCUCAAACUUGGCUGCACAUUAAAAUCAUCUAGGAAGUUAAAAAAAAUACCGAUGUCUGGGUCCCACGUAUUCUGAUUUACUUGGUCUAGGCUGUGUUCAGGGCACUGAGAUUUAAAAAAGUCUCUAGAUGAUUCUGAUGUGCAGCUAAGUUUAAGAACCACUGCUCUAAAUCAUUGGGGCUUUCGAGAGACUGG